rnacentral:rRNA from 1 species
GACGAACGCUGGCGGCGUGCUUAACACAUGCAAGUCGAACGGAAAGGCCCUGCUUUUGUGGGGUGCUCGAGUGGCGAACGGGUGAGUAACACGUGAGUAACCUGCCCUUGACUUUGGGAUAACUUCAGGAAACUGGGGCUAAUACCGUAUAGGAUCUCCUGCUGCAUGGUGGGGGUUGGAAAGUUUCGGCGGUUGGGGAUGGACUCGCGGCUUAUCAGCUUGUUGGUGGGGUAGUGGCUUACCCAGGCAUUGACGGGUAGCCGGCCUGAGAGGGUGACCGGCCACAUUGGGACUGAGAUACGGCCCAGACUCCUACGGGAGGCAGCAGUGGGGAAUAUUGCACAAUGGGCGGAAGCCUGAUGCAGCAACGCCGCGUGCGGGAUGACGGCUUUCGGGUUGAAAACCGCUUUCGCCUGUGACGAAGCGUGAGUGACGGUAAUGGGUAAAGAAGCACCGGCUAACUACGUG